GGUGGGAGGCGCUAGGUAGUUAAGCUUGCUUGCAGCUUGCCCAUUGAUCAGUAUGGACUGGGACUGCCACAACAGACAGACAGACAGACAGACAGACAGAGGACAACAGCUAUACUCUGUAGGCUACUGCAGAGAGAGCGAGAGAGAGAGGGCAAAAGAGAGUGAGAUUGCCACAACAGGUUUCCAUAGACUGCUGUAGAGAGAGAGUGAGAGGGAGACGGAGAGAUGAGAAAAUAGAGAGAAUUGAAGAUCAGAUAAUGAAAGAACGGUGACCAGUGAAUGAAGAGAAGAGAGAGAAGAUAAAUAAUAACAGAAAAAAUAUGCAAAACAAGACUAAGACAAAAAACGACAUUGUAGAGACGGAGAGACAGAGAGACAGACAGAGAGAGAGAGAGAGAGAGAGAGAGAGAGAGAGAGAGAGGAGCCAGAGCACGUUGUUCGGAGUGUUCUGAGCAGACACUGUCUGGACCAUGUGCACAGAGAAAAGACUGGUGUCAAGGAAAAGGGCUGCCACUGAGAGAGAGAAAGAAGAAGAAGAGAGAGAGAUAUAUAUGCCAGGGGGUCUGGGAAUCAAACACAGUAUGAAGCUGCCUGGACCGGAUGAUGGCGCUGCUAUACAGACUGGCUGCACCUUGCAGAAAAACUCCCUCUUUGUAGAUGAAUGAGUGGCCCAGUCAGGAUUACUUACUGCAGGGGUCUUAACCCGCCAACCAGCAGUACUACAUCUCAGAGGCUAAAAACAGACACGGAGACACACUUAACAAGGCCUCAUUACACUGCUCAAAAAAAUAAAGGGAACACUUAAACAACACAAUGUAACUCAAAGUCAAUCACACUUCUGUGAAA